rnacentral:rRNA from 1 species
CGAAGCGUGCUGUUGGAGUGCACGUCCAAGCAGUGAGAUUGAGUGUUAGGCAAAUCCGGCACUCUUAAGAUUGAGCUGUGAUGGGGAGAGGAACUUGUUCCUCGAGUCGUUGAUUUCACACUGCCGAGAAAAGCCUCUAGCUAGAAUAACGGUGCCCGUACCGCAAACCGACACAGGUAGUCAAGAUGAGAAUUCUAAGGUGAGCGAGCGAACUCUCGUUAAGGAACUCGGCAAAAUGACCCCGUAACUUCGGGAGAAGGGGUGCUCUUUGAGGUUCACGCUUCGAAGAGCCGCAGUGAAUAGGCCCAAGCGACUGUUUAUCAAAAACACAGGUCUCUGCUAAACCGUAAGGUGACGUAUAGGGGCUGACGCCUGCCCGGUGCUGGAAGGUUAAGAGGAGUGGUUAGCGCAAGCGAAGCUACGAAUCGAAGCCCCAGUAAACGGCGGCCGUAACUAUAACGGUCCUAAGGUAGCGAAAUUCCUUGUCGGGUAAGUUCCGACCCGCACGAAAGGCGUAACGAUUUGGGCACUGUCUCAACGAGAGACUCGGUGAAAUCAUAGUACCGGUGAAGAUGCCGGUUACCCGCGACAGGACGGAAAGACCCCGUGGAGCUUUACUGUAGCCUGAUAUUGAAAUUCGGUACAGUUUGUACAGGAUAGGUAGGAGCCUUAGAAGCGUGAGCGCUAGCUUACGUGGAGGCAUUGGUGGGAUACUACCCUAAUUGUAUUGGAUUUCUAACCCGCAGCACUUAUCGUGCUGGGAGACAGUGUCAGGCGGGCAGUUUGACUGGGGCGGUCGCCUCCUAAAGAGUAACGGAGGCGCUCAAAGGUUCCCUCAGAAUGGUUGGAAAUCAUUCAUAGAGUGUAAAGGCAUAAGGGAGCUUGACUGCGAGACCUACAAGUCGAGCAGGGUCGAAAGACGGACUUAGUGAUCCGGUGGUUCCGCAUGGAAGGGCCAUCGCUCAACGGAUAAAAGCUACCCCGGGGAUAACAGGCUUAUCUCCCCCAAGAGUUCACAUCGACGGGGAGGUUUGGCACCUCGAUGUCGGCUCAUCGCAUCCUGGGGCUGUAGUCGGUCCCAAGGGUUGGGCUGUUCGCCCAUUAAAGCGGUACGCGAGCUGGGUUCAGAACGUCGUGAGACAGUUCGGUCCCUAUCCGUCGUGGGCGUAGGAAAUUUGAGAGGAGCUGUCCUUAGUACGAGAGGACCGGGAUGGACAUACCUCUGGUGUACCAGUUGUCGUGCCAACGGCAUAGCUGGGUAGCUAUGUAUGGACGGGAUAAGUGCUGAAAGCAUCUAAGCAUGAAGCCCCCCUCGAGAUGAGAUUUCCCAACUUCGGUUAUAAGAUCCCUCAAAGAUGAUGAGGUGAAU